rnacentral:rRNA from 1 species
CGGGAUGUUCAUAACCCUUUGUUGUCCGACUCUGUUGCCUCCGGGGCGACCCUGCCUUCGGGCGGGGGCUCCGGGUGGACACUUCAAACUCUUGCGUAACUUUGCAGUCUGAGUAAACUUAAUUAAUAAAUUAAAACUUUUAACAACGGAUCUCUUGGUUCUGGCAUCGAUGAAGAACGCAGCGAAAUGCGAUAAGUAAUGUGAAUUGCAGAAUUCAGUGAAUCAUCGAAUCUUUGAACGCACAUUGCGCCCCCUGGUAUUCCGGGGGGCAUGCCUGUUCGAGCGUCAUUUCACCACUCAAGCCUCGCUUGGUAUUGGGCAACGCGGUCCGCCGCGUGCCUCAAAUCGUCCGGCUGGGUCUUCUGUCCCUAAGCGUUGUGGAAACUAUUCGCUAAAGGGUGUUCGGGAGGCUACGCCGUAAAAACAACCCCAUUUCUAAGGUUGACCUCGGAUCAGGUAGGGAUACCCGCUGAACUUAAGCAUAUCAUAACGCGGGAGAAAA